AUAGGAAAAAUAAAGCAGCGAAAGGGAUAGAGCGUGAUGUGAUGAGGAUACCAGUGUGGUCGGGGAGUCUUCUGAAGAGGGGACAUUUCAGCAGAAUACGGAAUGACGUAAGGAGGUGAGAGCGAUGGUGACCACCUGGAGGAAACACACUUCAAGCACAAGGGAGAUGCCUGGCGUGUUAGAAAAACAGCGAGCCUGCAGUGCGAUGUCACAGAGGAGCCCACACCUGCCCUGUCACUGAACCACAAAACAGCAGAGCAGGAAAGGGAACAGCCUUUAACAAACCUCAGACUUUUGAGCAGUAUGGGAAUAUCACAAUUUUUGCCUAAGUGACCUAUUGCCUGUAAGUAAUAUUUUGUUCUUUAGACGGAUUCAUUUUUCAUCAAAAUAUGUUUUUUUAAUUUU